UGCUGGAAAAUGGAGGUCAUCUAUCCUGUGU
rnacentral:piRNA from 1 species